rnacentral:rRNA from 1 species
AUACGGAGGAUGCAAGCGUUAUCCGGAUUUAUUGGGUUUAAAGGGUGCGUAGGCUGUUCGGAAAGUCAGGGGUGAAAGCCCGGCGCCUAACGCCGGAACUGCCUUUGAUACUUCCGAGCUGGAAUACGGAUGCCGUGGGAGGAAUGAGUAGUGUAGCGGUGAAAUGCAUAGAUAUUACUCAGAACACCGAUUGCGAAGGCAUCUCACGAAUCCGUCAUUGACGCUGGGGCACGAAAGCGUGGGGAUCAAACAGGAUUAGAUACCCUGGUAGUCCACGCAGUAAACGAUGAUGACUAACCGUCGGCGAUACACAGUCGGUGGCCAAGCGAAAGCGAUAAGUCAUCCACCUGGGGAGUACGUUCGCAAGAAUGAAACUCAAAGGAAUUGACGGGG